CUGGAUGAAUAGAGUAGUUUGAAGGCUUUAUUGUUAAAGAAUCGCUGCGGCUAGGACUACACUACAGAACGAAUUGGAAUAUAUCCAGAGAGAACAGAAUACACACUACGCUCUUCAGGAUAAGGAUGAGUUGUAUGAAACGGAUCCACAUAUCCGGCGAAUAGAAGGAGCAGAUCGAAGCAACCUGCUCUUUGCCCAGCUUGUUCCUUACGAGCUUUCGGUCAGAUCGGUGCUAGCGCAAUGGCCGAACAAAUAUAAACCAGGAGCUAAAAAGAUAGAUGUUCUGAGUAGAAUAAUGUUCCCUGCUACAUUCAUGGGACUCAACGUGAUGUAUUGGUCCUACUACCUUACUAGAAAUCCGAAUUCUGCAAUGCAUUGACUUGUGUAUUCAAGACCCGGGCCCAAACCUUUCCACUACUUUUAGAAACCUUAAAAACCGUUCCAAAACCAACCCAAGGUUUAUAAUUAAAACUUAAUAAAUUAACAAGAAAGAUGUUUUAAAGAACUCGAGAUGGAUUUAGAUCAAUAUUAAACUUUUUCAUUACAAGACCCAAUACCAUAACAAAAAUUGUUAAUAAUAGUUUAGUACUCUAACAGGAACGUAUUUAACGUUUAAAUCAACUAAAAAUUCUUGAAGUAGAAACUCAUUUCUUUUCUCUAGAAAUUGUCUUUUCAAAAAAAUGUUUUGUAAUUUGUUUUCAGUAAUUUCAUACAAACAGGUUGUAUAAAACUGUGAAAAAUCGUUGGAACAAAAUUUACUUAAUGGAAAAGAAGGCUUUCACCGAGCAACAAAACUACAUCAAUGGAACUAUUAGUAAUUAUAGACCUUUAUUGACAAUGGAAUUCAGGCUUUCAUUGCUUUAUUUUUAUUUUGUAUAGAAGGAAACAUUAUUUUUUUCUUCUUACUAUGGAAAUUGAAUUAAAAUAUUCACUCUGCAGUGUGUAUUGGAAUAUGUAAUUGUAAAAAGCUGUUAUUUUUCACGGACCAUGCAUUUAUUAUGAAACCUUAAACCAAAUGCAAUUCAGGCUUUCACUGCAUAUAUUUGCUAUUUAUUGUAAACAAUGCAGAAUUAUCAAGUAAAACAAAUCUUUGUCUUAAACCUUAGAAAUGGAAUUCAGACUUUCACUAACUGUAAUUUAACAAUGGAAUAUGAUCAAGUUUAAUUUACAAUUUUAAGAACUUAUAUAUUAUAUCAAUAUGCUUUAACAUUAUAUAUUGACUAAUGGAACUUAAAUUUUGAAAUGUGUGCACGCUACAACCUUGUAAUACUGUGUAUUGCACCAGAACUAAAAUUUAAGAUAUUACAACAGAAAAAAAACCUAGUUUCAACCAAAAAAAAAUUUAAAAAAACUCGGUAUUUUGUUUUUUUGUAAUUCCUUGACUUUUAGGUUCUGUUUACUUUUGUACAGUGUACAACUCUUACAUCCCUGUAUUUUGUUAUUCUUGAAAUAUAUAGAUUU